UACGUAGGGACCAAGCGUUGUUCGGAUUUACUGGGCGUAAAGGGCGCGUAGGCGGCGUGUUAAGUCACUUGUGAAAUCUCUAAGUUUAACUUAGAACGGUCAAGUGAUACUGAUGUGCUAGAGUGCAGAAGGGGCAACCGGAAUCUUGGUGUAGCGGUGAAAUGCGUAGAUAUCAAGAGGAACACCUGAGGUGAAGACGGGUUGCUGGGCUGACACUGACGCUGAGGCGCGAAAGCUAGGGUAGCAAACGGG
rnacentral:rRNA from 1 species